CAAUAGCGUAUAUUAAAGCUGUUGCGGUUAAAAAGCUCGUAGUUGGAUUUCUGUCAAGGACAACUGGUCCGCCCUCCGGGUGAGCACAUAGUUUGGUCUUGGCAUCUUGCUCAAAACUGUUACUGCGCUUGGUUGUGUGGUGCAGUUUUGGGCACUUUCACUUUGAGGAAAUUGGAGUGUUUCAAGCAGGCACAUGCCUUUGGACACAGUAGCAUGGAAUAAUUAGAUUGGGCUUUUGCUCCAACUUGUCGGUUCCUGGAGCUGAGGUGAGAAUCAAUGGGGAUUGUUGGGGGCAUCUGAAUUUAGCCGUCAGAGGUGAAAUUCUUGGAUCUGCUAAAGACGGACAACUGCGAAAGCGUUUGCCAGGAUGUUUUCAUUGA
rnacentral:rRNA from 1 species